UACGUAGGGGGCAAGCGUUGUCCGGAUUUAUUGGGCGUAAAGAGCGUGUAGGCGGUCAGGUAGGUCCGUUGUGAAAACUCGAGGCUCAACCUCGAGACGCCGAUGGAAACCAUCUGACUAGAGUCCGGAAGAGGAGAGUGGAAUUCCUGGUGUAGCGGUGAAAUGCGCAGAUAUCGGGAAGAACACCUAUGGCGAAGGCAGCUCUCUGGGACGGUACUGACGCUGAGACGCGAAAGCGUGGGGAGCGAACAGG
rnacentral:rRNA from 1 species